GUAUAGAGCAGAGAGAUAUUCAGUAAAGUAAAUAAUAGUUAUAAACACUAGUACUGUAUCUUCACUUAAUUUAAUGUUUUCCUUCGCUUUUUACGGUAAAGCUCACUGUUACUUUUUCACGGUGCAGUUGCCAUCCAAAAAUGGCGGACAACGUCUGGUCGCAUGGCAAUAAAACUUGGCACAAUGUACAAUAUAAUUUCGAAACUAGAACAAAUGGAAGUUUUAAAACCAGACCAAUCGUCCAAUCUUUUUAUUGCUAAUAUUUUUAUUUAUCCACAAUGAAAAAUAAUUGUAAACCAAAUAUUCCUUGUGGCCUAUUUCACGUAUCAUUUUGAAAAAAACGCAAACUUGUCAUGAAGGACAAGUAAAAACUAUCUUUACAAUACCUUAUUAAACAAUAAUAAUCUAAAUAACAUCAUAACACAUUGGUAUGAGUUUUAAAAGUUUUCAACUUAGUUCUUUAUUUCAACCUGCUCCGUUUUUAGACAGUGGCGUGCUGGCAGGGGGGGGCCGGGGGGCCACGCCCCCCCCCAGCUGGCAAUUUUUGGGGGGCGCAAAAAUGAAAAGGGGGCGCCGAAUUUUGAAGUAGGUGGGAAGAAACGCAUUCGAAAAAAUUACUUACGAAUUCCUCCAAGGAAAGAUGUGUUUAUAGACUUAUAAACAGACUAAGCGCAUAGGCGACAAAGUGAGUAUAUUAAAUUGCAGACUAUUUUGUCUAACCGUAUUUGCUACCUCACGACCCACAGGAAAUCACUCGUUCAUAUAGAAACAUGAUCAGUGAUCACACUAGCCCGCGUGCAGGCCCAAGGGAGCAGGCUGAAGGGAACUUGAUAGUGGGCCUGCAAGCAAGGCCCGGUAUUUUGUACUUUCCGCGUUCGCCCACGAACGCGGCAUUCUGAUUGGCUGUUUGCUGUUGGAUUCUAUAAUUAGGUCAGUGAUUCAUCACAAAGGCAUAGACAAAGGCA